CAUGUUUGUCAAACAAUUAGCUAGAAUCGGUUUGAGAUCAUGAGAUCUUGUUUGACAAAUACAGCGGAACACGUUCAAACACGUUUGUGAAACGCUACGCCAAUCCAAAUUUUCUUCAAACAGGUCAAACAUGUAUUUUUUCAAACAAAUUACGUG